UAACCAAUUCUGCCUCAGACAAGAGCUUCUUUGAAGAGACACCCCUCUUAAAAGCUCAGCAAAAAAAUUAAGAAUAAAAACAAAUCAACACAUUACUAGGAGCCAGGGCUUGUUUAUCCAUUUCCAAGAACUUUGGCUGUUCAAGUCUUCCCUGAUGAGAUUCAGAGCACAUCUCAGCCCCCAAAACUCCGAGGGGGAGAAACAAGACCAGUCUCCAACUUCGAGCAUCGCGUGCAACCGCUGCGUGACACUGCUCUGUGCAUCCCGCAUCAAGAAACCAGAACCAAUGAUCCUGAUCCUGCAGAAGUUAAUUGCAGAAUUCCUAGGACCCUAAUGAUUACACCUACAGUUAUAAGUUUCCUUAUUUGAAAGGAAAAACUCGUUUCAGAGCCACUUUCCUCUGCUGUUGUUACUGCGCAGAGGGAUGACAACCACCUGACCCACAGAACACGGCUCAGUGUCAGGCCACCCUCCUCAUGUGAAAUAAGAAAUAAUCUCCAUAAUCUGACUUCUGUCACUAUUUUUAAUUAACAGAAUUCUAGUAUCUAAAGCAGCUCCUGAGCUGUGGCCAAGCACAAGCUGGCACAACUGUUAAUGUGCUUAACUCACAUACAGCUCUCAUCUACUCACUUCAUGGUUUCCAAACUACAGUGGGCUAUAAACCAACUGCAAACUACAAACACACAUUCCCCCAGGGCUGGCAGGAAUAAGCCACUGCCUUCAGGCAGAAAGAGUUAGGAGGCUCUCAAAUGCUCUCAAUAUCUAAUUAAGGCAUUUGUAAUUAUAACAGUAAUAGUAAAUUUUUUAUAAAACAUUUAAAUUUAUUUUA